CCUUUCUGAUCUAGCCCACAGCCAUCCCUUGUAGUUAAUUACACCAUUCUCCUCAAGACCCACAUUCCCAGGUAAUGGGCACCAGCUUGAAGCAGUCUGGAUGCCAAGAGCAUCCGAAAGCAGAAAAGCCACAGCAACCUUUCCCCAACAGGCUCAUUCCAGGGCUGGAUUCCAGGCCACUUGUUAGUACCGUGACUCACCACAUCUCGGUACUUCUUAAUAUUGACCUGUAAUUGCUUACACACUGGUUCCAAGCUCCACCAUAUCAACCUGUCAGCUCCUGGAGACUUACUCACCCAGGAGCCCAAGAACCUAACACCAAGUGCAGCAUGUGGAAGCAUUCCUGUCCAUACCUCACAGCCCUAACUCCCAGUGAUGAGGAGAAGCCCUUGGAGGAGCCACAGAUCUCCAGACAAAGAAAGAGAGGAAGCCCUUAAUGGACUGUAGCCGGCUGUCUAACCAGCUUUCCCCACCCCAGUCCCAAUAAAGCAUCCUUGAUGAAAA